rnacentral:rRNA from 1 species
CACCGCGGUUAUACGAGGGGCCCAAGUUGACAGAUAACGGCGUAAAGCGUGGUUAGGGGUAACCUAAACUAAAGCCGAAUACCUUCAGGACUGUUAUACGUUUCCGAAGGAAUGAAGCCCAACUACGAAAGUGGCUUUACAAAACCUGACUCCACGAAAGCUAAGAAAA